rnacentral:rRNA from 1 species
GAAUAUUGCGCAAUGGAGGGAACUCUGACGCAGCGGCGCCGCGUGAGCGAUGAAGGUUUUCGGAUCGUAAAGCUCUGUCCUUGAGGAAGAAGGCGGCCACGUUUGGCCACUUGACGGUACCCCAUGAGGAAGCCCCGGCUAACUACGUGCCAGCAGCCGCGGUAACAAGUAGGGGGCAAGCGUUGUCCGGAAUUAUUGGGCGUAAAGGGUGCGUAGGCGGCCUUUUAAGUCAGAUGUGAAAGACCACGGCUUAACCGUGGGGUUGCAUUUGAAACUGGAGGGCUUGAGUAUCGGAGAGGGUAGUGGAAUUCCCAGUGUAGCGGUGGAAUGCGUAGAUAUUGGGAGGAACACCAGUGGCGAAGGCGACUCUCUGGUCUGUAACUGACGCUGAGGCGCGAAAGCGUGGGGAUCAAACA